AAGCGUGGGGAGCAAACAGGAUUAGAUACCCUGGUAGUCCACGCCGUAAACGAUGUCGACUUGGAGGUUGUGCCCUUGAGGCGUGGCUUCCGGAGCUAACGCGUUAAGUCGACCGCCUGGGGAGUACGGCCGCAAGGUUAAAACUCAAAUGAAUUGACGGGGGCCCGCACAAGCGGUGGAGCAUGUGGUUUAAUUCGAUGCAACGCGAAGAACCUUACCUACUCUUGACAUCCAGAGAACUUUCCAGAGAUGGAUUGGUGCCUUCGGGAACUCUGAGACAGGUGCUGCAUGGCUGUCGUCAGCUCGUGUUGUGAAAUGUUGGGUUAAGUCCCGCAACGAGCGCAACCCUUAUCCUUUGUUGCCAGCGGUCCGGCCGGGAACUCAAAGGAGACUGCCAGUGAUAAACUGGAGGAAGGUGGGGAUGACGUCAAGUCAUCAUGGCCCUUACGAGUAGGGCUACACACGUGCUACAAUGGCGCAUACAAAGAGAAGCGACCUCGCGAGAGCAAGCGGACCUCAUAAAGUGCGUCGUAGUCCGGAUUGGAGUCUGCAACUCGACUCCAUGAAGUCGGAAUCGCUAGUAAUCGUAGAUCAGAAUGCUACGGUGAAUACGUUCCCGGGCCUUGUACACACCGCCCGUCACACCAUGGGAGUGGGUUGCAAAAGAAGUAGGUAGCUUAACCUUCGGGAGGGCGCUUACCACUUUGUGAUUCAUGACUGGGGUGAAGUCGUAACAAGGUAACCGUAGGGGAACCUGCGGUUGGAUCACCUCCUUACCUUAAAGAA
rnacentral:rRNA from 1 species